UACGAAGGGUGCAAGCGUUAAUCGGAAUUACUGGGCGUAAAGCGUGCGCAGGCGGUUUUGUAAGCCGGAUGUGAAAUCCCCGGGCUUAACCUGGGAAUGGCAUUCGGGACUGCAAGGCUGGAGUGCGGCAGAGGAGACUGGAAUUCCUGGUGUAGCAGUGAAAUGCGUAGAUAUCAGGAGGAACACCAGUGGCGAAGGCGGUGCUCUGGGCCGGAACUGACGCUGAGGAGCGAAAGCGUGGGGAGCAAACAGG
rnacentral:rRNA from 1 species